AGGAUUGUUUUGGCAAUGGUGGCUAAUUUUGAUUUGGAGUUUAGAGUAGCUAGAUGUGAAGACUGCUUUCCUUCAUAGUGAUUUGGAGGAACAGAUUUUCAUGGAGCAGCCAGAAGGGUUUUUGGAACCAGGAACAAAGAAUCUUGUGUGUAAAUUGAAGAAGUCUUUAUACGGGUUUAAGCAAUCUCCACGGCAAUGGUACAAGAAGUUCGACUCUCAUAUGAUUCAGAUUGGCUACAGUCGUUGUGAGUAUAAUUGUUGUGUUUACUACAGAGUUCUUGAGGAUAACUCAUAUAUUUUCUUGAUGUUGUAUGUGGACGACAUGUUAAUUGCUGCUAAGAACAUGAAUGAGGUAAACAAAUUGAAAUCUUUGUUGAGCAGUAAGUUUGAUAUGAAAGACUUGGGACCGUCUUAGAAAAUUCUUGGCAUGGAGAUCAACAGAAAUAGGAAAGUUAGAAAAUUAUGGGUAUCUCAGAAAAAUUAUUUGAACAAAGUGUUAGAGAGGUUUAGCAUGUCAGAUGUAAAAUCAGUUGCCACACCACUUGCAAAUCACUUCAGAUUGUUUAAUAAUCAGUGCCCAAAGAGUGAAGAAGAUGUUGCAGAGAUGUCAAAGGUACCUUAUGCCAGCGCAGUUGGAUGUUUGAUGUAUGCAAUGGUGUGUACUAGACCAGAUUUAGCACAUGCAGUCAGCGUGGUUAGUAAGUAUAUGGCUAAUCUUGGUAGAGAGCAUUGGAGAGCUGUAAAGUGGAUUUUUAGGUACUUGAAAGGUACAAUGGAGUUCGGGAUCAUGUUUGAGAGACGACAUGUUGAUAUUUCAGUUCAAGGAUAUGUAGAUGCAGAUUAUGCAGGGGACUUGGAUGACAGAAGGUCCCAUACAGGUUAUAUUUUCACACUCACAGGUGGGCCCAUAUGUUGGAGGUCAAUGGUGCAAUCACUUGUGGCAUUAUCUACAACUGAAGCAAAGUACAUGGCGGCAACUGAGGCAGCCAAGGAAUUAUUGUGGUUGAAAGGGCUUGUCAGGGAACUUGGAAUCAAGCAAGAUGGAAUGAAGCUGUACUGUGAUAGUCGGAGUGCCAUCUUCCUAUCUAAGAAUCAGAUUUAUCAUGCAAGAACCAAACACAUUGACGUGAGAUUUCAUAAAAUAAGAGAGUUGGUUACUUCAGAAGAGCUGUUGUUAGAGAAGGUGCAUACCUCAGAAAAUGCAGCAGACAUGAUGACAAAGCCAAUCACAAUGGAUAAGUUCAAGCACUGCUUGAACUUGAUUAAUAUCUCUAGCUGUUAGAGAUGUGUCCUAACCCAUUGGUCCUAGAUGGUGUGAUUUUUUUCAGGUUAUGUUUUUUUCCCUAAGGGGGUGAAUAUUCGCCAAGGUGGAGAUUGUUGUACAUGUGGCUUCGACCUUGCGCGGAUUUAAUUCACUGUCUGGUUGUACGGUAUAGGGGUAUUUUCUGUACGGGCCUUAAAGUUUUAUAUGGGCCCAAGCUAGGGUUAGUAUAAAUAAUACGUUGUAACCCUAUUUUUCAGAACUGAAUAAAGAAAUCUUCGUUUCGCUCUCGUGGACGUAGGCACGUCGACGAACCACGUAAAAUUCUUGUAUUCAUUUUCGUUUUCAUCUCUUUAAUAUUGCGUAUAAAAUCCAAUAAUUUUUAUAAGAGUGCUUGUGUUCUAAAUGCAAUAAACCAUUUAACAUUAAAUUUUUAAGCUAUAAUUAAGUAUCCAAGUCUGGAAUUAGAGUCAAUUUUGAUUGCUUCAAAAUAACCUAGUCCAUAGUUUCAUAAGAUCAAUAUAUAUUAUUAAACGUAUACAUUAAAUACCUUGGUAACGAAGUUCCUUCAUCAACCAAAAGCUCCAUAGCAAGCUUAAUGGAAUAAAAAACUAGAGCAUUCUGAUUGAUGGCCUUCCUAAGCCACGUGCCACCAAUACCUGUGUAACCAUCGAGAAGCACUAAGUUAAAAGCUCCGCAUCCAUUUUUCGCCAUGAGUUUCUUAAUAACGUCCUUACACUUGGGGACCCUAAUACUCUCCCGCAUGGAUAAUGCACCGUCGAUGGGUUGAAUCGAGUCACAAUAGACUCCAAUUACUAGAAUGCCCAUCAUCAUCGUCUCGAUAGCCACUUGCAUCCAGCCCCCAGGUGCAGCGCAGAGAUCAAGGACAAAUUAUUGGAGCAAAAAAUUUCGAACAAGUAAUCAAGCUAAACUAGCUUCCUGUGGCUAUAGACCUGUAAUCAUUCUCUUUCCCUAAUUGGUAAAUGCUUUUCAUCAUCUUUCCCCAUCACUAUUGGGUUUUAGAGAAGGAGAAGAAAGGUUGAGAUUUGGACUUCAGAGUUAGCUCUUGUUUAAUUCCCAUUUUGAGAGAAAGAAUGCAUUUUUAAAUAGUGUUUGAAGAAAAAUGUGUGGUUAAAAAUUAAGGAAAAAUUUUGGAUUUGUAUGUAAUAUUAUUUUACUAAAGAAUGUGUGGUUGAAAAUGAGUUUUGGAAAAAUAAAUUUUUAGAAGAAUGGUGUUCAAACAAGGGCUUAAGUAAUAUUUCUUUAGAUUAAGUUAUAAGGAAAAUUGCAGUAGCGAUCCCUAACCUUUUCAAUUUUUUCAAACUUUACCCUAACCUUCAAUUUGUACCAGCUAAGAUCCCUAACCUUUCAGAAAUAUGCACCUGAGAUCCAAAUGGAUGGAAACUGUCCAUUUGACCAUUAGUUGACAAAUAAAAUGAUUUUGCCACAUUAUUAAUUAUUUCUAUAAGGGUACCUUUCUCUCUUUCCAUAUAAAAAAAUUACAAUAAUUAAAUGAAAAAUAAAAAUCAUCAUCUUCCACAACUACCCCAUCCCCAUCUAAACCCCUACCCUUAUCCUUGCCUCAAAACCCAACCCUAGCUACCCAUCAUUGUCCUAAUCUGCCCACCGCCAUCAAUUCACAACCUCCACCACGUCUGCUACGCUCUUAUUCGUUGCCAAUUGAACCCAAAUGAGAAAUCAAAAUCGAUGCCACCACCACUUCGCCUCAAAAUUGAUGCCAUCACCACCUCUGAUUGCAAUGGUGAGCUACUCCUAUCUAUAUAUGAAAUUAAAUCAAGUUUUGACCAUCCAACAUUCUCAAGUUCAAUUUACGACUGCCAUUCCUCUACAAAUGUCAAGACAUUUCUUCUCUAAUUCUCAAAUUUCCUUAGAAUUUUGUGCGGCAGCACCAGAGCUUGGAGAAACUGCAACAACAUGAGCGCUUCUCAAACGGAGACUAUUUCAUGGUUUAACAACCAGCUUGCCAGCGAUGCUGCAGCUAAGGCCAUUGAGAAAGCUUGGACCAAGAAACAAAUUUUGCAAUUGCUGCUGCAGGAGUUGGAAUUGAGCCUAGAUUUGAAGAAUCUAGGAUGGUAUUAGGAUACUUAGCCCAGUGGCACUAUCAAUUUGGUGGAUUUCCUCUGAGUUUGUGGUAGGGGUGUCUGGUGUUUGAGGAUUGCAGGAGGAGGUGGUGGAUGUGUAGUGGUAGUGUUGGUGGUUCUUAUUUAAUUUUCAAUUUCUGCAGAUUCAUUGAUUGAGGUGGUGGCGGCUGUGAAUUUAGUGGUUGUGGCAGCAACAAACGGUGGUGGUUUUAGGCAAUGGAUUGUGGGGUGGGGUGGGGAAGGCAAUGAAUAGUUUUUUUCCUUUUAUUUUAAUUGUUUUAUAGGGUUCAAUAGCAAAGUUACCCUUUAAAUUGGUCAAAGUUCGUUAAAGUUCAAUUUUAUUGGUCAACUAACAGUCAAAUGGAUGAUUUCCAUCUAUUUGAAUGGUUUCCUCUGACAAUAACUCAUUCCACAAGCCAUAUAGCUUUGAAGUGACAUUUACCAUUUUUUGUACUUUCCAUUAAUGCCCUUUACUUUCCAUAGGCGGCUGGCACUUGUAUUUCCAAUUAGAAUCUAAGGGCAAAAUAGACAGCUUAGUUUCAACAGUAUUUUCCAAUUUGUAUCUGUUCUGACAUUUGUCUGACUUCUUAUCCUGUGUUAUCAUUCAUUAUUGUAGGGGGAAUGAGAUUUGGUCUAAAAAAAACUCAUUAAAAUGAGUACCAAAUGGCACUAGGUUUAAUAAUUCUAUAAAAUUUUAGUUUAUCAGAUAUUCUUUUGACUUUAGAUUCUUUAUUUUAGACUUGAGCCCCAUUUUAUUAUAUUAAGAAUGCAUUUUGAAAUAGUAAAUUGAUGGAGAAUGUGCGAUUGAAAAUAAUGGAGAUCAAACAAAGGUUAUAUAAAUAAGGUUUUAUUUAUGAAUAAUAUUUACAUCUCAUUAUUUUUAGUUCUUUUUGUCCUAGCUUGUGGGAUCGUGUUUCGUUGGCCUUCAUUUCAGUUUUGUGAUAAAAAUAGGUUUUUCUUUUUUGCGGUAUAAAUCUGCCUUCGUUUUUUGUCCAUUUUAGUUUCAUAUCAAAGAAAGUUAAUUUUGUUUUGUUUCUUUGUAUUUUACUGUUGGUCAUUGCUGGAAAUUGAUAUUCUUGUGUGGAUGCAUGUGAGGGAUCUUGCCUCGCUCAUAUUCGCUUCAGUUCUAUGGCACAUAGCAGGUUUAUUUUAGGUUAAAUUUAUAGAUUAAGUAUGCUGGUCCUUUUUUUUUAAUGCAUAUGUAUUAUGUCCUUCAGUUUUGACGCAGUUCCUUUAUUUUUGCCUGUCUAGGGGCUUUUUUCCACGAUUUUGUUUUAACCAUUGUACUAGAGCACAGGUAUAUCAUAUUCUAUUUUUAUUUUUAUUUUUAUUUUUUUCUAUUAGUUCAAAGACAUUUAGUAUGUUGUUGAAGAUGUUGACAUGAUUUGUGUGUUUUGUACUCAUUUUUAAGCUAAUCUUUGCACGUGCAUUGCAUGGGAUUUUUUUAAUUAUUUUUUAAUUAUUUUUUUAAGGUAAUGUUAGUGUAUUAAAUGUAUUGGAUUUUCUGUGAAUUACAUCAUGUUUCUUACAAUUAAAAAAGAAUAAAGGAGGAAAAUGAGUAACUCUAGCAUAAAAACCCUCACAAAGAGCUAAGAAAGAGAGAGCUCGUCCUCUCAGCAAACUGAACUCCCGUUUGUUUAUCAUUUUUUCAAAAAUGAGAAUAAAAAAUAUAGUCGUUAUGGGUCUCAUACAAGGGAUAGAAAUUCAAAUUCGGUGACUUGAUGUGAUGAAUAGCGAUCAUAUUUUUCAUUUUAAUGAGAAAAAAAUGGGAACAAAACAGGGGCUGAAUUAAAGAAAUUAUUUCACACGAGCGGAAAUGAAACUUUGGCAACAACAUUUUCAAAGGUAAAACAUUUUCAGAGUAGAAGAAAUGUUAUUGGAAUUUCUCAAAAAGGAAAUUAAAUCUAAGCAUUAAAUAUUGACAUAAAAGUUAUUAAGAAACUAACCCGAGUAAUACUUCAUCAUAAAAAAUUACAAUCUCAACACCAAAUGCUUCAAUCACACUCUUGGUUUCUACAUCAUUGCUUGAUCCUUUGUAUGUCCUCAGAUUUAGCGUUGCAAGUCUGCACCAAAUACAAUGGAAUACCCCAAAUUCACGCACUAUUUGAAAUUUCAUUUACUGUGUGCUACAUAAAAUAUAAUUUACAAAAUAAAAAAAAAUGAUAUAUUAUUCAUACUACUUACUUUUGAUACGUAGAACCAACAAAGAGUCUACCAGUGUUGGCGAGAUGAGCUAAUUGACUGGGUGAUCCUCUAUACCAAAUUAAUCGUUAGUAUCAACUUUCCUCGCGACCCCAAUGUCGUAACUGUUGCCAUGACAGUGCAAACAUUGCCAUCGAUGUUUAUUUUAUGAUGCCUAACUUAGUCAACUAAUUAUUGAAUACACUCAACAACAGGAUGUACCAAAUUACCAUUUUCAUUUCCCAAAAUGGAAUGAUUCUUUCACUUCCUGUUAAAUCAAAGAAAUCUAAAUGUAAACCACAAAAUUUAUGAAAGAUCACAAUAAAAUUGCAACACAAAUAUGACUCAUAUACUGGACUCUAGCUGCAUCUUUUACAAUUUUACCUGUUUCUUAAAACCCAAGCCGAACUUGAUUGAGUGACCCAAAUAAUCCAACAACCCCUUCAAACCCUAGCCCAACACACCACUUUAAUUUGAUAUGCUCAUUAUGUACAAAUAAUCUAACAGGAACUGUCACUCUUUUGGUUUUCAUUCUGAUCACAUCUCUGUCAUCCCCCAAGAACAUAAAGUCCAUCUUUGAGCCAUAUUCCAAGAAAAAAUGCAUUAUUCAUGUCAAAUCAAUGGAAAAUGUGUGAUUAAAAAAUAAGGAAAUGUUUUAGAUUUGCAUGUAAUAUUAUUUUAUUGAAAAAUGUGUGGUUGAAAUGAUGUCAAAUAAUUGUUGAAGAAUGUAUUUUUUUAAAAAUAAUGUGGCUCAAACAAGUCCAAAAUUAGGAAAACCCAACACUUCUGAAAAGCAGAUUCAUCAGAUUUAAUUUUUAUCUCAUUUCUAAAAUGUCACUUGAUUCACCAUUUCAAGAGCUUACCAUCCUAAACAAUCGGGAUCUUUGUGGUGUCAGACUCUCAACAUACAGGGUAAGUUUGCAAUGAAAGGGAACUCCAAUAGAUUUAACGUUCAAGGCCAUGGUAAAGCAAACAUUAUAAACAUUGGUAACCUAGCUAGUAGCAAAGAACACCUGUCUUUUAAUAUUCCUAACAAAAAUACUUGAAUUUUAAAAGUAAACAAACCAAUCCUUCCCAUAUAACACUGGGAGAAGUUUAAAAAAAUAAAGCCCACUAAAAUUCAAGCAGAAUGCCAUAACGAUUGUACCAAAUGUACUCUAUCCACCCAAAAUAUGGUAAAAACAAGUAACUUGAGUACCCCAAUAAGCAUUGUCAUUCUAGUUAAUUAAUCUUUGCCCUCGAGAAGUCUAUUCCAGGUGCUGCAAAUUUACAUAGGUAAAAUCAGUAUCCGCAUAAUCGAACAUGGAAUGCCUAUAAAAUGCAAAGGCAACAAGAAAAGAACUGGGAAUAAGGGUCAUUCACUGUAAAAGUAUUUGUUAUUGAAAUUGAAGUAACGUUACUACAACUCUUCAUUAGUUUAUAACAAAUACUUUGUCCUUUUUAUUGAAACUUAUUUUCAUAUACAAAUAAUUAUAUUGGACAUUUAUCUACCUGUAUCCAGACAAAUUUAUAAGAGAGCCGACAAAAAAUCACUCUCACAACUAAAAAUCAACUUUUCACUUGCGGAUAAUUACCGAUUGGUAAAAGUAUUAGACUUUUAAUUUCGAAAAUCACGAAAGAAAUUUCCGUUGGUAAUUGUGGUAGUUUUUUAUCAAUGGAUAUUCCAUGCCUACUGUUGUUAAGUACACUUACUAUUUACCAACAGCAUUUUCGUGGAUGAUGUCAUUCAACUAUUUUUUCUAAAAACUAUGUCAACCUUCCAUCUAUGAAUUUUUUGUGGGUGAAGAGAAAUUUAUAUUACCAACAUAAUUGUUAUUGUUAAUAUUAAUCAAUUUUAAUAAUUAAAAAAUUCAAACACCCUCCUACGAAAUAUCUGUAGGUAUAGGGUAAUUAAUUUUUUUAAAAAGAGAAAAUUCAACCUCUUCACCAGCAAAAAUUUCAUAGGUGAAGAAUAAUUCAUAUUACCUACUAAAAAUCUGUUGAUGAUAUUAAUUAAUUCUAAUAUUUAAAAAAAUCAAUUAUUCACCUACUAAAUAUACAUAGUUGAGGGGUACUAAAAUAUAAAUAAUUAUUUAUACAAUAGUUUUUUUUUUUUUAUAUGACCAUUGGUGUCCGGACCAACUUACGCGUACCUCGCCUAAUCCCACGGGCCUUGAAAUUUACAACCGAAUACUCACCUCAGUCGCCUUAAGAGGACUCGAACUGAUAACCAUUGGGAAGCAAACCCAAAACCGACUAUUGAGUUACAAUAGUAUAAUACACUACAGCCAAAUUAAAGGUACAAUACACUAUAGUCCAACUAAAGGAAUUUUUAUCCCACACUGAAAGUUCAUAACAAAAUCUUUGGAAGUGCCCUCUAUAAAUUAGUGGUGCAAUAAUUGAUUAAACAACUUUUUGGACCUUUCAAUUUAGUUGGCUAAAAGUUAAAAAAUUCAUAAUUAUUAAACAAUAAUAACAAUAAUAAAAAUUUAUACCACGCUUCGCACCUAUGUGACUAUUUAUGACACUGAUUUUUACUUAUUGUAAUAGUAGAUGUUUGCCAAUGGAAAGUCGGUAGGUAAUGAUUAAGAUUUUUACCAGUUAAAAUUUUCAUUGGUAAAAGGUUCACACUUAACCAAAACCCUCAAAUUAACAAUGAAUUUUUGGCUACUAAUAUCCCGUUAGUAAAGAGUAAUAGCAACGGAUAUCGUGGUUUAGAAACAAAAAAAUCGUGCUUGAGCCCCUUUUUUGGAGUGUCCCUUUCUUUUGAUGGAACGCAAAUUUGAGGUUCUGUAGAGAUUUGAUCAAUGAGAUAGGUCAUUGGUCGAUGGAUUUNUGGUAGAGAGCAUUGGAGAGCUGUAAAGUGGAUUUUUAGGUACUUGAAAGGUACAAUGGAGUGCGGGAUCAUGUUUGAGAGACGACAUGGUGAUAUUUCAGUUCAAGGAUAUGUAGAUGCAGAUUAUGCAGGGGAUUUGGAUGACAGAAGGUCCCAUACAGGUUAUAUUUUCACACUCGCAGGUGGGCCCAUAUGUUGGAGGUCAAUGGUGCAAUCACUUGUGGCAUUAUCUACAACUGAAGCAGAGUACAUGGCGGCAACUGAGGCAGCCAAGGAAUUAUUGUGGUUGAAAGGGCUUGUCAGGGAACUUGGAAUCAAGUAAGAAGGAAUGAAGCUGUACUGUGAUAGUAGGAGUGCCAUCUUCCUAUCUAAGAAUCAGAUUUAUCAUGCAAGAACCAAACACAUUGACGUGAGAUUUCAUAAGAUAAGAGAGUUGGUUACUUCAGAAGAGCUGUUGUUAGAGAAGGUGCAUACCUCAGAAAAUGCAGCAGACAUGAUGACAAAGCCAAUCACAAUGGAUAAGUUCAAGCACUGCUUGAACUUGAUUAACAUCUCUAGCUGUUAGAGAUGUGUCCUAACCCAUUGGUCCUAGAUGGUGUGAUAUUUUUCAGGUUAUGUUUUUUUCCCUAAG
rnacentral:lncRNA from 1 species